rnacentral:rRNA from 1 species
UACGUAGGUGGCGAGCGUUAUCCGGAAUUAUUGGGUUUAAAGGGUGCGCAGGCGGGAGAUUAAGUCGGCGGUGAAAUUUUGCAGCUCAACUGUAAAAGUGCCUUCGAAACUGGUUUCCUUGAGUGUAGAUGAAGUAGGCGGAAUUUGUGGUGUAGCAGUGAAAUGCAUAGAUAUCACGAGGAACUCCGAUUGCGCAGGCAGCUUACUAAACCACUACUGACGCUCAUGCACGAAGGCGUGGGGAUCAAACAGGAUUAGAUA